ACCGGAGGAAGACGCGCGCAGCCUUGUUCCGUCGUGUGUGCCUGCAAUCCUGCAGGCUGCAGUUGGUUGCAUCGGCAGAGAAUUGCAUUGCCUGCAGACAUACUCCCUCCGUCCCAGAAAGAAAUCGGGGUGAGGAUUUGUCCCAGAAAAAACCGACUUCUGCGUAACACUCGAGAAAUAUUCAAUGAUCCUUAUCCCUGCCCGUCUCUCUCCUCUCGCCCACCACACAACCGCGCUAAAAAAAAAACCACCACCGCCCGGUCUCAUCUCCUCCCUCUCCUCACGACCUUCACUUAUCCCUCGACGGCGAUGAGUCAUUUCCCCUCCCUCCACGCUCCAUCCAUCUCUCCCUCCCUGCGACCUCCCGUGAUGUCAUGGAUACGACAGGUCGGCGGGGGCGGCGCCAGCCCCGGCGGAUUGAGAUGGCUCGGAUGAGGCACUAGCAGUACGGCGGCAGAGGUAGGGUCUUGCGAUUGUGAUGCAGGAGAAGGCGAACGCAACAUGUAGGUGCUGCUUGGCUACGACGGCGGAGGCGCAAGCCUAUGGUCUCCAGCGCCAGUGGAUCUGUUGCAGGGAGCCUGAUGCACAAGCUUUUGCAAUGGCGGAUCUGAUGAAGGAGCCAACGAUUUUGUGUCUCCCAGCGCUGAGGUGGUUCGAGAAGCUUUGCCAUUAGAAUAAACCCAAGGUCAAUCUGGAUAAAUACACACAUGACUACAGGCCACCUUGGUGGAUGCAAACACAUUUCUUUGUUCUUUCUAGUUCUUGCAGAUUAAUUCCUACUCCUUACAGAUUGUGGAGAAGUAUUUUUUAACAGAUUAUGGAUGCAAACCAUCUUGUAGAUUGUGGAGUAGUAUUUUUUUUGACGAUUUCUUUUUUCAGACUAGAGGUUCUUAAUUUUUUGUUAACAUAUUCAAUUUAAAACUUCAUUUUUUUUGCUGGAUACCUGUGUAAUUGAUGCGUGCAGAGAAUCCAGUUAAACCUUUUUUUUCAGUGAGGACAGUGCAGAGAACCCAGUACAAUCCUGUGUAAUGUUGUUGUUGAGGGCAUUUCGGUAUUUUCAUGGUUGUACUAAGUUUGCAUUGGGAAUCCAGGAGUUGAAUUAUCA